UUAUGUCAUGCUGGUCUUGGUGAUUUUAUGUUUCUGCAUCAGGAACAUGAAAACUGUAGCAUACAAGAUUCUAAAAUACUCCGUAUAUCUGUUCUCUGGAUAAGGAAUUCUGGAUCCAUCUGGUAUACAUAGGAAGCCUAUAUUUUUUACUGAAUUUGCAACUGGUUGUGACAUAUGUUCUCAUUGUUGUUAUGCUUUCAUUUGGUGAUCUCUACCUUGACUAUGAAUUUUUCAUGUUUUUUUGUCUUUUAUGAGGAUCUAGUUUUUGCGAUUCUUUUGUAAGAUCCAUGUGGGAGUUACCGGGGAGAUAGCCUAUGAAUGUACUGUGGGAAUGUCAAAGCUUUGGUGGACACUAUCAAGGGCAUUCUUCUGGCCUCACGUUAAAAAAGAUAAUUGUUCUGGAAUAGUUAGUGUCUAAUGGCACGGUGUGAUCUGCCAUAUUACUGUGUAGUAGUGUUUUUCAAGAACUAGUUUUUCAGCAUGGUGCCUCAAGAUUUGAUUUUUCUGAUCUCUGUUGAUUUCUUUUCCUUUUAAUAUUUCCUUUCUGUGAUUCAGAGUCUAGUGUUUUUGUGAUGCAGAAUAAAAUCUUUGAACGUGUCUAGAUUAUUUCUGGUUCAAGCUUUCUCAUGUUUGUUCUUCAUGUUUGUAAUCUAUCUGGCUUGUGGUUUUGGCUUCUUUCUUGCUUCAGAAGUUUUCUUGUUAUUGAAGUGAUUUGAUUGCUUUCCUUCAUUCUGUUUUCAACAUCG
rnacentral:lncRNA from 1 species